UACGAAGGGGGCUAGCGUUGCUCGGAAUCACUGGGCGUAAAGGGUGCGUAGGCGGGUCUUUAAGUCAGGGGGGAAAUCCUAGAGCUCAACUCCAGAACUGCCUUUGAUACUGAGGAUCUUGAGUUCGGGAGAGGUGAGUGGAACUGCGAGUGUAGAGGUGAAAUUCGUAGAUAUUCGCAAGAACACCAGUGGCGAAGGCGGCUCACUGGCCCGAUACUGACGCUGAGGCACGAAAGCGUGGGGAGCAAACAGG
rnacentral:rRNA from 1 species